rnacentral:misc_RNA from 1 species
GAUGAAGAACGCAGUGAAAUGCGAUAAGUAAUGUGAAUUGCAGAAUUCAGUGAAUCAUCGAAUCUUUGAACGCACAUUGCGCCCGCUAGUACUCUAGCGGGCAUGCCUGUUCGAGCGUCAUUUCAACCCUCAAGCCCUGCUUGGUGUUGGGGCCCUACGGCUGCCGUAGGCCCUGAAAGGAAGUGGCGGGCUCGCUACAACUCCGAGCGUAGUAAUUCAUUAUCUCGCUUAGGGUGUUGUGCGGUGCUCCAGCCGUUAAAGACCAUCUUUAACUCAAGGUUGACCUCGGAUCAGGUAGGAAUACCCGCUGAACUUAAGCAUAUCAAUAAGCGGAGGA